rnacentral:rRNA from 1 species
UGAGGAAUAUUGGUCAAUGGGCGGAAGCCUGAACCAGCCAAGUAGCGUGCAGGAUGACGGCCCUAUGGGUUGUAAACUGCUUUUAUACAGGAAUAAAGUUAGCCACGUGUGGUUAUUUGUAGGUACUGUAUGAAUAAGGACCGGCUAAUUCCGUGCCAGCAGCCGCGGUAAUACGGAAGGUCCAGGCGUUAUCCGGAUUUAUUGGGUUUAAAGGGAGCGUAGGCCGUCUGUUAAGCGUGUUGUGAAAUGUAGAUGCUCAACAUCUGAAUUGCAGCGCGAACUGGCAGACUUGAGUGUGCGCAACGUAGGCGGAAUUCGUGGUGUAGCGGUGAAAUCUAUAGAUAUCAGGAAGAACACCGGUGGCGAAGGCGGUCUUCUGGCCUAAGACUGACGCUAAAGCACGAAAGUGUGGGGAGCAAACG